CUACGGGUUGCUCCAGUGAGGAAUAUUGCACAAUGGGGGGAACCCUGAUGCAGCAACGCCGCGUGGAGGAUGACGCAUUUCGGUGUGUAAACUCCUUUUAUAUGUCAAAAAAAUGACGGUAGCAUAUGAAUAAGCACCGGCUAACUCCGUGCCAGCAGCCGCGGUAAUACGGAGGGUGCAAGCGUUACUCGGAAUCACUGGGCGUAAAGGACGCGUAGGCGGGUUGGAAAGUCAGGUGUGAAAUCCUACAGCUUAACUGUAGAACUGCACUUGAAACUUCUAAUCUAGAGUAUGGGAGGGGGAGAUGGAAUUAGUGGUGUAGGGGUAAAAUUCGUAGAUAUCACUAGGAAUACCUAAAGCGAAGGCGAUCUCCUGGAACAUUACUGACGCUAAGGCGUGAAAGCGUGGGGAGCAAACAGGAUUAGAUACCCGAGUAGUC
rnacentral:rRNA from 1 species